UCUGAUUAUUUGUCUAAAAGAUACGAAUUUUGUGCUUGAGUUGAAGAUGAGGGAAAAUCUAUUGGUUAUCUAACAACUGCAUAUUUUAAGCCGUUUGAAUUAGGCUUUGUUGUAUUAGAUCUUCUGAUUUCCUCAUUGUCAGCUGUGGAGAGUAGUCAUCAAACUUUAAACUUUUCUGGAUAACUUAUUUCAGGUUUCAUUUGGCUGUUAAUUUCAAGUAGUACUCCAACACUGGCAGCAAAGCCAACUCAUUUAAGGAGGAAUUUGUAAAUGAUGCAGAGUCCAUACUUGCCUCUUAGAAUCCCUUUCAGAUUGGAAGGAAUCUGUCUUUUGCUUUUUACUCUCCUAUAAUUACUUCAGCACCCUCUCAGUGCUGCUUUUAUUAAAAAAGGUACAACAAUGAUGCGGGUUCAUGAAAUAUGUCAUUGCUCUGUGAUUCUGCCAACAUGCUUCAAUAUGGUGAUGCUAAUUCCCCAUGAGUUUCUUUUGUUUGUUUUGCUGAAAGACUUAUGGUUUCACCUUUAUCAUUAGUUUCUUCACCUGUAGUAUUUCUAAAGGCCUCUUUAAUGCUGGCAUAUCUAAUUGAUUCUGGAAAUAUAUGUUCAUUAAAUGAAUCUUUUCUGCUACUGUGUGGGUGUUGAUCAAGACCUACUGUACUAGUCAUUUUUUCCUGAUAAUUUAAAUAAUUUUAUUAAUGUGGGGAAGACUCACGUUCACAGGACGUAUACCAAUAAGUAGAGAACCUACAAAAUAGUAUGUUCCUACAAAUGUCAAGUCAAUCUUCUAUACACAAGAACAUUAUGGGUGCACCAAAAGCUUACGAAGAAUAAGAGGCUAAUCCUUAAAUGUUCAAAAUCAUUUUUUAACCCAUCGAAGGCACGGUACCAAUCAUAUGUAGGGUUUUUGUAGACAAUAUCUUCUAAUGUACUUAUAAAUAUAUAUUUUUUCCUUUGAGAAAUGAUGGUCCCUUGUGUUCGGGUGUAUAUCUAAUAUUGCCCUUUAAAUGUACCACUGAGCAUAUUUAGUCCUUAACUUUAUCAAAGUGAAUUUGUCUUUAAGUUAAAUCAUGACACCGUUAGUUUACUUUAACUGGAAAUCUCAGUGUGCACCUAGGAGCCAUUGUGAAGCUGUGAAAUGCCAUAGAGACAGAAUUAAUGCUCAGCUUUCUACUCAUUAAUCCAUCAGGAAUUAUAUUCCACGUACUCGAAUUAACAUAAUGCCCUCAUUUCUAGCAAAUGGAGAAGACAGCUCUACUAUGAUCACGUGCUGUUGCACUUGUUAAAACUCUGAAAGGAAGAGCAACACAAAUCAGUAAAGAGUUGAAUAUCCUUAUAGACAUUCAUGAAGUAAAACUUGAGUAGUUAAUGAAAAAGAACACAAAUGCUCCACAAGUAGCAGGGGGGAUAGUUUGUUCUCCAAGGUUUCUGUUUGCUGCAGUGGUCGGCCUGAAUUAUCGUAAGAGCUGUGUCGGCUUUUUAGGACCUGAAGCUACCCACUAUGGAUAUGCUGAUAUAACUAGUUUGUGCGGCAAAAUUAAGGUUGUUUUCUUCUUUGUCCUGGCGGUACGGAUAUGCUCAGGAUAUAUCUAAAGGGUGAUUUUAGACAUACCUUCAAACAUAAGUUCCAUAAGGGAUGAUUUAUCCAUUUAUGUUAUUUUCUCUAUUUUCUUAGGAGUUCAUUUUUUUCAAAUGGCAAAAGCUUUCCAGUUGUAAUUAUCAGCUCUGUGGCCACAGUUACAUCGUGUAGAAUUUUCCAUGUUAUCUCAAGGAGUCAUUUUGUCUUGGCUUACUAGUCUAAGCAGCUAUUAUCUAUAGUCCUUCACUAGAAUAGCAAGCUUCUGUGUUACUGUUACUUUUUAUGUAUAGGCUUCUCUGUAAGAGGCAACUCUUGCAUUUCUGCUA